rnacentral:rRNA from 1 species
AUUGAACGCUGGCGGCAGGCCUAACACAUGCAAGUCGAGCGGAUGAAGGGAGCUUGCUCCUGGAUUCAGCGGCGGACGGGUGAGUAAUGCCUAGGAAUCUGCCUGGUAGUGGGGGAUAACGUCCGGAAACGGGCGCUAAUACCGCAUACGUCCUGAGGGAGAAAGUGGGGGAUCUUCGGACCUCACGCUAUCAGAUGAGCCUAGGUCAGAUUAGCUAGUUGGUGGGGUAAAGGCCUACCAAGGCGACGAUCCGUAACUGGUCUGAGAGGAUGAUCAGUCACACUGGAACUGAGACACGGUCCAGACUCCUACGGGAGGCAGCAGUGGGGAAUAUUGGACAAUGGGCGAAAGCCUGAUCCAGCCAUGCCGCGUGUGUGAAGAAGGUCUUCGGAUUGUAAAGCACUUUAAGUUGGGAGGAAGGGCAGUAAGUUAAUACCUUGCUGUUUUGACGCUACCAACAGAAUAAGCACCGGCUAACUUCGUG